rnacentral:rRNA from 1 species
AUUGAACGCUGGCGGCAGGCCUAACACAUGCAAGUCGAACGAGUGGCGGACGGGCGAGUAAUGUCUGGGAAACUGCCUGAUGGAGGGGGCUAACUACUGGAAAAGGUAGCUAAUACCGCAUACCAUCGGAUGUGCCCAGAUGGGAUUAGCUAGUAGGUGGGGUAAAGGCUAACCUAGGCGACGAUCCCUAGCUGGUCUGAGAGGAUGACCCGCCACACUGGAACGGAGACACGGUCCAGACUCCUACGGGAGGCAGCAGUGGGGAAUCUUGCGCAAUGGGCGCAAGCCUGAUAGAGCCAUGCCGCGUGUAUGAAGAAGGCCUUCGGGUUGUAAAGUUCUUUCAGCGGGGAAGCGUUACCCGCAGAGGAAGCACCGGCUAACUACGUGCCAGCAGCCGCGGUAAUUC